GUCAUUACAGGUACAAACGCUGUGUAGCCCACAGGGGUUGUAGCGAUUGAGCUUGUGCACGUGGAGCCAAGGCAAGCGGCCACCUAGAAAGCUGCCCAGCUGUAAGCAGGUCACUGUCCACUCCCGCCCGGGAUGCUCUCUGUGCUGCAGGCCUGGUCUACGCAGGGCUGGCAAAAGGAAGGACAGUUAUCCUCAGGUGGCAGCUGCUGCAGCGCGGGCUUUGUUAGCAGGCUCAGCUCGGUGAGUAGCUGAAGGACGUGCGGCUGGCAGCGACGUGUCAAAGCUGCACGCACCUGUGACUAAGCCGUGGGGGUUGUGGCGAGCACAAUGUCCAGUGGAACAGCUGCAGGUUUGGGCCCACCGAGAACACCCUGG